rnacentral:rRNA from 1 species
GCUACGGGUGGCUGCAGUGAGGAAUAUUGGUCAAUGGCCGGAAGGCUGAACCAGCCAUGCCGCGUGAAGGAAGAAGGCUUUCGGGUUGUAAACUUCUUUUGACAGGGAAGAGUAGAAGACGGUACCUGUCGAAUAAGCCACGGCUAACUACGUGCCAGCAGCCGCGGUAAUACGUAGGUGGCAAGCGUUGUCCGGAUUUACUGGGUGUAAAGGGCGUGUAGCCGGGUUGACAAGUCAGAUGUGAAAUCCUGCGGCUUAACCGCAGAACUGCAUUUGAAACUGUUGAUCUUGAGUACUGGAGAGGCAGACGGAAUUCCUAGUGUAGCGGUGAAAUGCGUAGAUAUUAGGAGGAACACCAGUGGCGAAGGCGGUCUGCUGGACAGUAACUGACGGUGAGGCGCGAAAGCGUGGGGAGCAAACAGGAUUAGAUACCCGUGUAGUC